rnacentral:rRNA from 1 species
AUUGAACGCUGGCGGCAGGCCUAACACAUGCAAGUCGAACGAGUGGCGGACGGGUGAGUAAUGUCUGGGAAACUGCCCGAUGGAGGGGGAUAACUACUGGAAACGGUAGCUAAUACCGCAUACCAUCGGAUGUGCCCAGAUGGGAUUAGCUAGUAGGUGGGGUAACGGCUCACCUAGGCGACGAUCCCUAGCUGGGCUGAGAGGAUGACCAGCCACACGGUAACUGGGACACGGUCCAGACUCCUACGGGAGGCAGCAGUUGGGAAUAUUGCACAAUGGGUGCAAGCCUGAUGCAGCCAUGCCGCGUGUAUGAAGAAGGCCUUCGGGUUGUAAAGUACUUUCAGCGAGGAGGCGUUACGCGCAGAAGAAUCACCGGCUAACUCCGUGCCAGCAGCCGCGGUAAUUC